rnacentral:lncRNA from 1 species
GCUUGGUUAGUCGCUUAUUUAUUGAACAGCAGCCAGCGCGUCUCGACAAGAGUCGAAUUGCAGUCUAUCCAGUAUAUUAAAGUUGACACGUCUUAACAAGCGCCGAACUGUACUAUACAAAGCCAUACCUCAUUCUUUCAAAGGGGUGGAGAGGACAAUGAGGAGAGAAGUGGCAAGGUUGUUGGAGUUAAUAGAGGCUCGGAUUUUAUAGGGGUGGCGAAGUGGAGCAGGUGCUGGGGGAGGGCGGCGAUAAUUGGGAAAGGGGGUGUGGGAUGGAAUAGGUAAUGGUUGACGGUGACUAGGGAUGGGUUAGGAUUAGGGUACGGAGUUGGGAGUGGGGGAAGGACAAGGCACUGGCUAGUGGUGGUUAGUGGUGUGAUUUGAUUUGAUUUAGGGUUAUGGGAUGAAGGUUGAUGACAGGAUAAUUUACAAAUAAAUGGAGUCGUUCAAGAAUAAAAUAGAAACUCUGGAUAUUUUUGUAGGGUGUACCGCAUAAAGGGGUAGCUGAGAAAAGGAUGGGUGUGAACAGAGGAACCGUUAAACAAUAGACAUAAAGCUUCAUAAAUUAGUUGUUUGCCCAUUGUCUUUUUAUUUACUUUUUGGACCCAACUCUGAGCUGACUCUCUGAUUCCCAUCGUUCUUUGCAGAUCUUUGUUUGACCAAAAUACCCCUUAAAUGCUAACCUCGGUGAAUGGUAAUGUUCUCUCCUUCCCACUUUUUGAUUGCUUCCAUAAGAUUUUUUAUUUGAAUUUACCAUAAAUUUAUGCACAUUUCCUAUAUCGAAAUUGAAAAAAUAAAUACUAUACGUUUAAAUUUCUUUUCUUGUGCUUUGUGUUUGAAAUAUGAUCAAGACGAAUAAAAUGAUAGGGAAAAUUUAAAUAAGAGAAAAAGGAGAGUGAUUUCGCACUUUAUUUGUAUUUAUUAAGAAAAGUUACAAGAAAAAAGUGCUUAUUUGUUUGAAAAAUAUGUGGUGAAUUCUUAGUACUUGUAAUAUUAGAAAAUAAAAAUAAGAAUAUGAUAUUUUUUAGAUAAAAAAAAUAGAGCUUGAAAAUAAUUAUCCUAAAAAAAUGUUAGUAGGAUCUAUAAUUUAUAUGCGAUUAAUAGUUCACCUCGUGCAAAAUGACAAUUCAUUGGUGGGUGCAAUUUUAGAGGUUCUUCGUAUAUUUAAUUUUUUAUUUUUGAAAAUCUCUCAAGUCCGUGCAAACUAUGGAAUAUUAUAUUACCAAUUUUGAAAUUGAUAUAGUAAUUCGAAAAUCAUAUAUGAAGAUUAAAGUAAAUUUUAAUGUUAUAUUUAAAUAUUGAAUUUGUCACUUAAAAAUAAAUUGAAGGAAAAUAAAAUAAUAUAUAUAUUCUUUCGUGGAUCACACAUUUUUAAGCUUGACUGACACAUUUAAAUAAAAAAUCUACCACCGGAAGAGUCAAAAUUAUUAUUGAGGGUAACACUUACGACUUAUUAAUGGCUCUCUAGUCUCAUUCAAAUUUUAAGAUUAUUGCUACCAAAAUAAAAAGCUAUGUAUUGGAUGCAAUUUCUUUCGAUAUUUUACACCUGUUCAAAUUAGCAUUUUUAUUAGCAUUUAUAUAUAUUUUUCAUAUAAAAUUCAAGUGUUUUAUGUUUUCAUGAAAGUAAAAACGAAAAAAAUGAAUUCAAAUAUUUGUAACUCAAAAUAGUACAAGUUUUACUUUUUAAAGGAACGAGGGAAGCUAUCAAAUAGGGAAAUUCAAUUCGACUAGCAUCCAGAGUCUUUUCCUUGCAUUCUAUUAACAAGAAGCUUUCGAAUAGAGAGUUUUAUCUCUAUAUUUUCAUAUUCAUAUGAAUUCAUAAUUCUCUAUCUUUUCUUUGUUUUUUUUUUAUAUUGACUUUGUUUGACAGGAGCCACAACCCGUUUGGCAGGGCAAUUCAUAUCAAAGAAUUUUUGACAUGGAAAUCAACUUUAACAAUAAAAUUUAAAUUUCAGGGUGACGUAAUAAUUAGUAGGAACGAUCAAAUCGGGCAAAACGAAAAAAUUAAAACUUUUGUGAAAAUCAUAUUUGUUCAAAAAACUAAUACGUCAUUAUUAAAAAUUUAAUAUAAAAUUAUUAACAAAAUUGUGUUUUCCAAAAAGCUAGUGGAGGUAGGCCAUAAAAAUACAAAAAUGUGUACGUAUAACACAAUACAAAAUGGCACGCCUCACAUCCUAAGGGCUCGUUUGGCUGGAGGAUAUAGACUGGGAUAACUUUUAGAGGGGAACAAAUUUUUUGGAGAGAGAAAUUUUGAACUUUGUUUUUUUUUUUUUGGUAUAACUUUUUAAAUGGUUAGAUAAGGAUAAAAUAUAGAAAGAGCACCACCCCCUCCCUCUUUGUCUCUUCACCCAUCUCUUUAUCCUACUAUCUCCAUGCCCCCCCACACACCCUUCUCUCUUAUUUUUUACUCUCUCACCCUUUAUUCCCUCCAUACUUCUCGCCCACCCCCCAACUUAUCCGUCCUCUAUCCAUCUCCGGGAGCAUAAAUGAUCCGCCUCCA